UACGUAGGGUCCGAGCGUUGUCCGGAAUUACUGGGCGUAAAGCGCGUGUAGGCGGUUUUCCAAGUUGGGUGUGAAAGCCUUGGGCUUAACCCAAGAAAUGCACUCAGUACUGGAAGACUAGAGGACCGGAGAGGAUAGUGGAAUUCCCAGUGUAGUGGUGAAAUACGUAGAGAUUGGGAAGAACACCAGUGGCGAAGGCGGCUAUCUGGACGGUUUCUGACGCUAAGACGCGAAAGCGUGGGGAGCAAAUAGG
rnacentral:rRNA from 1 species